UUUGGAUUUAACCGAAGAUGAUUUCGAUUUUCUGACGAGUAACAAAGUUUGGAUUGCUACUGACCGCUCUCGUGCUCGUCGCUGCGUUGAGGCUUGCGUUUAUGGUACGCUGGACUUUGUAGGAUACCCUCGCUUUCCUGCUCCUGUUGAGUUUAUUGCUGCCGUCAUUGCUUAUUAUGUUCAUCCCGUCAACAUUCAAACGGCCUGUCUCAUCAUGGAAGGCGCUGAAUUUACGGAAAACAUUAUUAAUGGCGUCGAGCGUCCGGUUAAAGCCGCUGAAUUGUUCGCGUUUACCUUGCGUGUACGCGCAGGAAACACUGACGUUCUUACUGACGCAGAAGAAAACGUGCGUCAAAAAUUACGUGCAGAAGGAGUGAUGUAAU
rnacentral:rRNA from 1 species